GACAGAGGUGCCGAGCGUUAGGCGGAAUCACUGGGCUUAAAGCGUGUGUAGGCGGGCCGUUAAGUGCCCCGUGAAAUCCCCCGGCUCAACCGGGGAACGGCGGGGCAUACUGGCGGCCUUGAGCCACUUAAGGGCAGACGGAACAAGCGGUGGAGCGGUGAAAUGCGUAGAUAUCGCUUGGAACGCCAACGGUGAAAACAGGUUGCUGGGGUUGUGCCGACGCUGAGACACGAAAGCCAGGGGAGCGAACGGG
rnacentral:rRNA from 1 species